AUGUUAUACAGGGUUUUUAUCCCAAAAUCUUUUAUCACAACAUGGUAAAAUCAAAGUGAAAUGAGGCCUAAUGAUCCAUAACCAACUCCAGUGCAAGGAGAGAUUAACUCAUACCUCUAAACUAAUUUGUAACUUCUAUCCAGGCGUUCUGUGGUCACAUUCAAGAGGCUAUGCUUCAGGAUCUGCUUGUAAUUCAAUCCAGCAUAUUACAGCCAUAUAAAAGAGCAUAUCACAGCAAUUAUACCAGAGUCAGCUCUUUUAAAGCUAUAUCUUACUGGUUGAAGUGUGGUUGUGUCACGACUACUAAUGUGAUCCAACACGCAAAACUAUGUAACAUCUACAUAGAAUAGAAAAAUAGACAUAAG